AGAGUUUGAUCCUGGCUCAGGAUGAACGCUGGCGGCGUGCUUAACACAUGCAAGUCGAGCGAAGCACUUGAGUUUGAUUCUUCGGAUGAAGACUUUUGUGACUGAGCGGCGGACGGGUGAGUAACGCGUGGGUAACCUGCCUCAUACAGGGGGAUAACAGUUAGAAAUGACUGCUAAUACCGCAUAAGACCACGGUACCGCAUGGUACAGUGGUAAAAACUCCGGUGGUAUGAGAUGGACCCGCGUCUGAUUAGGUAGUUGGUGGGGUAACGGCCUACCAAGCCGACGAUCAGUAGCCGACCUGAGAGGGUGACCGGCCACAUUGGGACUGAGACACGGCCCAGACUCCUACGGGAGGCAGCAGUGGGGAAUAUUGCACAAUGGAGGAAACUCUGAUGCAGCGACGCCGCGUGAAGGAUGAAGUAUUUCGGUAUGUAAACUUCUAUCAGCAGGGAAGAAAAUGACGGUACCUGACUAAGAAGCCCCGGCUAACUACGUGCCAGCAGCCGCGGUAAUACGUAGGGGGCAAGCGUUAUCCGGAUUUACUGGGUGUAAAGGGAGCGUAGACGGCACGGCAAGCCAGAUGUGAAAGCCCGGGGCUCAACCCCGGGACUGCAUUUGGAACUGCUGAGCUAGAGUGUCGGAGAGGCAAGUGGAAUUCCUAGUGUAGCGGUGAAAUGCGUAGAUAUUAAGGAGGAACACCAGGUGGCCGAAGGCUGGCUUGGCUGGACGAUGACUUGACGGUUGAGGCUCCGAAAGCGUGGGGGAGCAAACAAGGAUUAGAUACCCUUGGUAGUCCACGCCCGUAGACGAUGGAUACUAAAGUGGUCGGAAGUUAUUCCGGGGGCUGGAAGUUAACACCAUUAAAGUAUCCCCACCCUGAAGUUAGUACCCGUUCCGCAAAGGCUGGAAACUCCAAAGGGAAUUUGACUGGGCACCCCGCCACAACCCGGUGGAGCAUGCUGUUUAAUUCGAAGAUACGCGAAGAACCUUACCUGGGCUUGACAUCCCGCUGACCGUCUUGGAAACAAGAUUUUCCCUUCGGGGACAGCGGUGACAGGUGGUGCAUGGUUGUCGUCAGCUCGUGUCGUGAGAUGUUCGGUUAAGUCCGAUAACGAGCGCAACCCCUAUCUUUAAUUGCUAACAUUAAGUUGAGAACCUUAAAGAUACUGCCGGUGACAAACCGGAGGAAGGUGGGGAUGACGUCAAAUCAUCAUGCCCCUUACGUCCAGGGCUACAGGCGUGCUACAAUGGCUGGUAUAAUAAGAUGCGAUACCGUGAGGUGGAGCAAAUCUCUAAAGCCAGUCCCAGUCCGGAUUGGAGUCUGCAACUCGACUCCAUGAAGUUGGAAUCGCUAGUAAUCCCGAAUCAGAAUGUCGGGGUGAAUACGUUCCCGGGUGUUGUACACACCGCCCGUC
rnacentral:rRNA from 1 species